AUUGAACGCUGGCGGCAGGCUUAACACAUGCAAGUCGAGCGGAGAUGAGGUGCUUGCACCUUAUCUUAGCGGCGGACGGGUGAGUAAUGCUUAGGAAUCUGCCUAUUAGUGGGGGACAACAUUCCGAAAGGAAUGCUAAUACCGCAUACGUCCUACGGGAGAAAGCAGGGGAUCUUCGGACCUUGCGCUAAUAGAUGAGCCUAAGUCGGAUUAGCUAGUUGGUGGGGUAAAGGCCUACCAAAGCGACGAUCUGUAGCGGGUCUGAGAGGAUGAUCCGCCACACUGGGACUGAGACACGGCCCAGACUCCUACGGGAGGCAGCAGUGGGGAAAAUUGGACAAUGGGGGAAACCCUGAUCCAGCCAUGCCGCGUGUGUGAAGAAGGCCUUAUGGUUGUAAAGCACUUUAAGCGAGGAGGAGGCUACUGAGACUAAUACUCUUGGAUAGUGGACGUUACUCGCAGAAUAAGCACCGGCUAACUCUGUGCCAGCCGCCGCAGUAAUAC
rnacentral:rRNA from 1 species